GCUGGGCUCGGUGGUGUAUGCCUGUAAUCCCAACAGCUCAGGAGGCUGAGGCAGGAGGAUCGAAAGUUCAAAGCCAGCCUCAGCAAAAGCAAGGCGCUAAGCAACUCAGUGAGACCCUGUCUCUA
rnacentral:sRNA from 1 species